CUUUCUAAAGCUCUGAUCAGUCAAGAAGGGGGUUGUAUCAAUCCUCAGAACCCUGAGUGGAACUUUCUACAGGAUUUAUUAGGAGAAAAACCUUCCCGGAAGCUGCAGAAGGACAAAUACAGAAUCCGUGUCUGGGAGAAACCUCGUGGCCUGGUCUCCAUUAUUUGAGAUGAGUUACAUCUUGGAGGCCUGAUCUUUUGGCCAGAAGGAGAUUAAAAAGAUGCCCCUCAAGAUGGCUGUGCCUGUCAGCUGCAUGGAGCUUCGUUCAAGUAUUUUCUGAGCCUGAUGGAUUUACAGUGAUCUUCAGUGGUCUGGGGAAUAACGCUGGUGGAACCAUGCACUGGAAUGACACACGCCCGGCACAUUUCAGGAUACUAAAAGUGGUUUUAAGGGAGGCUGUGGCUGAAUGCCUCAUGGAUUCUUACAGCUUGGAUGUCCAUGGGGGACGAAGGACUGCAGCUGGCUGAGAGGGUUGAGAUCUCUGUUUACUUAGAUCUCUGCCAACUUCCUUUGGGUCUCCCUAUGGAAUGUAAGACCCCGACUCUUCCUGGUGAAGCAUCUGAUGCACGUUCCAUCCGGCGCUCAGCUGGGCUUGAGCUCACGUAGGUGCCUCGUUCAUAAUUUCUCCUUCCCAGUAGAAUCCCAACUACAGAAGAUACAUACAUAAAUGCAAAGCAUGGUCUAGGCAGGUUGGCUCCAGGACUUUGGAG
rnacentral:lncRNA from 1 species